GAUGAACGCUAGCUACAGGCUUAACACAUGCAAGUCGAGGGGAAACGACAUCGAAAGCUUGCUUUUGGUGGGCGUCGACCGGCGCACGGGUGAGUAACGCGUAUCCAACCUGCCCACCACUUGGGGAUAACCUUGCGAAAGUAAGACUAAUACCCAAUGAUAUCCCACGAAGGCAUCCGAAUGGGAUUAAAGAUUUAUCGGUGAUGGAUGGGGAUGCGUCUGAUUAGCUUGUUGGCGGGGUAACGGCCCACCAAGGCGACGAUCAGUAAGGGUUCUGAGAGGAAGGUCCCCCCACAUUGGAACUGAGACACGGUCCAAAACUCCUACGGGAGGCAGCAGUGAGGAAUAUUGGUCAAUGGACGAGAGUCUGAACCAGCCAAGUAGCGUGCAGGAUGACGGCCCUAUGGGUUGUAAACUGCUUUUAUAAGGGAUAAAGUGGGUCUCGUGAGACUUUUUGCAUGUACCUUAUGAAUAAGGACCGGCUAAAUUCCGUG
rnacentral:rRNA from 1 species